GGCGCCCACUACCAACUGUGCGAAGACAAAUCCCUCCCGGGAAAUGUUCCACUGAUGGGGUUUGCUGCAUCAUCCUAAGGGAUAUAAAAAGGAUAUGCAAGCCAAGGAAAUGAUCUUUAGGAACAGAAAUUUCUAGUUCGCGCCGUGUGAGUGCUACGUAAAGUGACCCGUUACCAACCAGAAAUUGUGCGUUCCCGGUCACCUUAACCCGGACGAGGGGAUCGACGCAGCCCUGCGCAAGAGACGCCCCUCUCGUGGUACCAGAGUGUAGGUACUCCUCUUCAGCGUCCGCUCGAUACCAUCCUGGGCCAGAACCCUAAUAUCGACAGGAUUGACGUGCCAGAAAUUCGCUACAAGGCAAAAGGUCGAAAGCCGAAAAGUCGAUACGCCAUCCCGACUGAAUGUCACCUUCAGGUGAAGUUAAGCUUCUUAUACCCUUUCCUUAAUCCUUUGAAUUCCCCAUAUAAAUGAAAUAAACCUAACCAGUGUAAUGAAUUUAAA